rnacentral:ncRNA from 1 species
UACCUGGUUGAUCCUGCCAGUAGUCAUAUGCUUGUCUCAAAGAUUAAGCCAUGCAAGUCUAAGUACGAGCUCUCGUACAGUGAAACUGCGAAUGGCUCAUUAAAUCAGUUAUGGUUCAUUUGAUCGUACAGUUUACUUGGAUAACUGUGGUAAUUCUAGAGCUAAUACAUGCGAGAAGCGCCGACCUCGCGGGAGGCGUGCAUUUAUCAGACCAAAAACCGGCCGCGUCUUCGGGCGCGUUCGCCUUGGUGACUCUGGAUAACUUUGCGGAUCGCACGGUCUAGCACCGGCGACGGAUCAUUCAAGUGUCUGCCCUAUCAACUUUCGUCGGUACGGUAUUUGCCUACCGAGGUUCUUACGGGUGACGGGGAAUCAGGGUUCGAUUCCGGAGAGGGAGCCUGAGAAACGGCUACCACAUCCAAGGAAGGCAGCAGGCGCGCAAAUUACCCAUUCCCGAAUCCCUAGCCACCAGUUUUGAAUCUGCAACCCUUUGGUUGAAAGACAACGCACUAAACCUCCAAGCUAUGUAAUGAAAUUCAAUAUCAGGUUACCUGAGCUAUUAAAAUAUGAUCAACAAGUUCCUGAUGUUCAAUUCAACACAUCAAUAAAUUCGAUUUAAAGAUUUAUCUUCAUUGGUCGUAAAUAAAGCUUCAAAAAAACAUUUUUUACAGUUUCCGUGUUUUUGUUUUUUUUAAGUUGCAAAAUAAAAAAAUUUGUCAAAGGCGGGGAUAGAACCCAACACCUCUCUGUUGUGGUUUCUAUGCUUAAACCUCCACACUACGUGACCCAACCUUUCCUCACUAGCUGCUUGCCCGUUGCCACCUCAAAUACGAAACGCGGCGCUACGAAGCUACUCCUUGAAAACCG